rnacentral:rRNA from 1 species
AAUUCCCGUUGAUCCUGCGGGAGAUUGCUGCUAUGAGAGUUCGACUAAGCCAUGCAAGUCAGAGGGUCUCUUCGGAGGCACAGGCUGAAUGCUCAGUAACACGUCAAUAAUCUGCCCUUGGGUCUGGGAAAACCUCGGGAAACUGAGGCUAAACCCGGAUAGGUAAAUAUUACUGGAAUGUUUUUUUACUUAAAAGCAAUGCCCAAGGAUGAGUUGGCGGCUGAUUAGGCUGUUGGUGGUGUAAAGGACCACCAAACCUUUGAUCAGUACGGGCCUUGAGAGAGGUAGCCCGGAGAAGGGUACUGAGACACUGACCCUAGCCCUACGGGGUGCAGCAGGCGC